GGGCCUGUGGCUCAAAGGAGUAGGGCGCCGGCCUCAUAUGCUGGUGGUGGAUUCAAACCCAGCCCCG
rnacentral:tRNA from 1 species